rnacentral:rRNA from 1 species
UACGUAGGGCGCAAGCGUUUAUCCGGAAUUAUUGGGCGUAAAAGAGCUCGUAGGCGGUUUUGUCGCGUCUGCCGUGAAAGUCCGGGGCUCAACUCCGGAUCUGCGGUGGGUACGGGCAGACUAGAGUGAUGUAGGGGAGACUGGAAUUCCUGGUGUAGCGGUGAAAUGCGCAGAUAUCAGGAGGAACACCUGUGGUGUAGACAGCUUACUGGACCACUUCUGACGCUGAGACACAAAGCGUGGGUAGCAAACAGG